GGCACUUUUAACAAUUAUAAUACCUUAAAUUAAAGAUAUAGCACUAUUUAUGAUCUUGAUAUCUUAAACAAAGACUCAGCACGUUUUAUGGUCAUAAUACCUUGAAACAAAGGUAUAAGCACUCUUAUAAAAUACAGAGGAAAAGAUGUAUGAAACCUUAUGAUUAAGUAACAGUGAAAACAUAAAACAUUUAUACUGUAGUUUCUUCUUUCUAUAUAUAUACUGCGUGAAAUUAUUUCACUUACAAAUCUUCAGUUAAAAUUUGAGUCAAAAUAAUAAUAAGUUGUUUCACAAGUUGUUCACAUGACAAAUAGAGAGGUAGAAUAGUUUAAAGUUUUACUUAAAGUUCUAUACCAGGUAAUAUUCUGUGAGGAACCAUUGAAUAGAGAGAAAAUAUCAUAUCAAAGACUCAGUCACUCUACUGGUCUGGUUGCACUGUUUGCUUUUUAAACAAUAAACUAUAAUGAAUUUGAAUAUAAUGGAAAUAUAAAAGGUAACAAUGGCAAAAUCAUGAAAUAACUACAUAAUGGAAGGUUAACAACUUCUAUAGGUUUAAAUAACUACAUAAUGGAAGGUUAACAACUUCUAAAGGUUUAAAUAACUACAUAAUGGAAGGUUAACAACUUCUAAAGGUCUGCAAAAUUUCUGUGAAGUUCAAAGAUAUGAAAACAAAAUUUGGUACCAGCUUGUUAAAAUUUUGAAAAAUGGAAAAAGUUCCUCAAAUAUUUCCAUAAUAGCAGGUGCCUAACUAUAAUAUAUGUUUCAUCAUUCUGUUAUCCACCAGUUUAACAUGCUCACAUGAAGCUAGAUACUAUACAGGAAGCUCUGAUUCAUAGAACCUGAGAAAACUGUGACAAAAAUAUCAUCAAUGCCAAUUAUGAGGAAAAAUAUAUAAGUAUUUAGUAUUAAAACUGGAAGUUGACAAGAUAUAAAUGUAAAAACACAUCACACAGUAUAGAAUGCUCUCAGGAAGCUUGAUAUGAAAUUUCAGGAAUCUGUGACUUACGAUUAAAUGGUUAACAUUUAAGAUAGUACAAAUACAUUUGAUUUAUUCAUACAGCAGAAAUGAAUUUGGUAACCCCCAUGAAUUUUAUAUCAACGCAACUGAAAUUUAAGUGUCAAAUCUUUUUCUGUAUGUAUUUUGGUGUCAAAAUCUUUUACCACACAUGUAAUUGUAAGAAUUCGAAUUGUAUA
rnacentral:lncRNA from 1 species